rnacentral:lncRNA from 1 species
CUCAGACGCCCGGCCGCUGCACUCCCAGCGGGAGAAGCCCCCUGAAGCCCGUCGAGUUUCAGAGCCCACAAAGGGAUGGAGAAAUUGUAACUCAGAUACUCCAAUUCGACUCAAUUCAACAAACACUGAGCACCUAUGAUGUGCAAGAAGUUGGCAGUCUGCAACCCGGAAGAGGACUCUCACCAGAACCCGACGAUGCCGGCACGGUGAUCUUGGACUUCCAGCCUCCAGAACCGACCACAAGAUCUGGUUACAUUCUGGGAGAAAGGAUAUUUCCAUCUAUAUUUAGAGGGUGGGAAAAAAUACCUACUGACAGAGAAAAAUCAUCAAUGAAAUAUUUCAAGAAAAUUUCCCAGAGCUGAAGGAAAAGUUUCCACAUCAAAAGGGACCACUCCAGCACAGUGCAUGGAAAGAGACCCACAGCAAGCUGGUGCUCUAGCACAUUGUGGGGACAUCUGGCCACCCUGAGUGGAGAGGGCUCUCGGGGACGUGCGAGCCGAGCUGAGGAAGAGGCCGAGGGGCUGCAGGCAACACCAAACACGACGUUCUCUGCUCUUUAGAAGACCUCACAGACUCCUUGAAACCCAUCCAGGGACCACAAGUUAAGAACAACAAACACUAGCGAAAACUCUUUCUCCCAUGGAAAAAGCACCACAAAUCAUUUGAAUCGAGUCCUUGCAAGAAAAAAACAUGAAAAAGAUGUUUGGUAAUCUUGAUUUUAAUUAAAAAAUUAAACUUUAUAUUAAAAAGUUAAUCUUGUUAAAAAGUUC